UUCUUUAAGGUAAGGAGGUGAUCCAACCGCAGGUUCCCCUACGGUUACCUUGUUACGACUUCACCCCAGUCAUGAAUCACAAAGUGGUAAGCGCCCUCCCGAAGGUUAAGCUACCUACUUCUUUUGCAACCCACUCCCAUGGUGUGACGGGCGGUGUGUACAAGGCCCGGGAACGUAUUCACCGUGGCAUUCUGAUCCACGAUUACUAGCGAUUCCGACUUCAUGGAGUCGAGUUGCAGACUCCAAUCCGGACUACGACGCACUUUAUGAGGUCCGCUUGCUCUCGCGAGGUCGCUUCUCUUUGUAUGCGCCAUUGUAGCACGUGUGUAGCCCUGGUCGUAAGGGCCAUGAUGACUUGACGUCAUCCCCACCUUCCUCCAGUUUAUCACUGGCAGUCUCCUUUGAGUUCCCGGCCGGACCGCUGGCAACAAAGGAUAAGGGUUGCGCUCGUUGCGGGACUUAACCCAACAUUUCACAACACGAGCUGACGACAGCCAUGCAGCACCUGUCUCACGGUUCCCGAAGGCACAUUCUCAUCUCUGAAAACUUCCGUGGAUGUCAAGACCAGGUAAGGUUCUUCGCGUUGCAUCGAAUUAAACCACAUGCUCCACCGCUUGUGCGGGCCCCCGUCAAUUCAUUUGAGUUUUAACCUUGCGGCCGUACUCCCCAGGCGGUCUACUUAACGCGUUAGCUCCGGAAGCCACGCCUCAAGGGCACAACCUCCAAGUAGACAUCGUUUACGGCGUGGACUACCAGGGUAUCUAAUCCUGUUUGCUCCCCACGCUUUCGCACCUGAGCGUCAGUCUUUGUCCAGGGGGCCGCCUUCGCCACCGGUAUUCCUCCAGAUCUCUACGCAUUUCACCGCUACACCUGGAAUUCUACCCCCCUCUACAAGACUCAAGCCUGCCAGUUUCGAAUGCAGUUCCCAGGUUGAGCCCGGGGAUUUCACAUCCGACUUGACAGACCGCCUGCGUGCGCUUUACGCCCAGUAAUUCCGAUUAACGCUUGCACCCUCCGUAUUACCGCGGCUGCUGGCACGGAGUUAGCCGGUGCUUCUUCUGCGGGUAACGUCAAUUGCUGCGGUUAUUAACCACAACACCUUCCUCCCCGCUGAAAGUACUUUACAACCCGAAGGCCUUCUUCAUACACGCGGCAUGGCUGCAUCAGGCUUGCGCCCAUUGUGCAAUAUUCCCCACUGCUGCCUCCCGUAGGAGUCUGGACCGUGUCUCAGUUCCAGUGUGGCUGGUCAUCCUCUCAGACCAGCUAGGGAUCGUCGCCUUGGUGAGCCGUUACCUCACCAACAAGCUAAUCCCAUCUGGGCACAUCUGAUGGCAAGAGGCCCGAAGGUCCCCCUCUUUGGUCUUGCGACGUUAUGCGGUAUUAGCCACCGUUUCCAGUAGUUAUCCCCCUCCAUCAGGCAGUUUCCCAGACAUUACUCACCCGUCCGCCACUCGUCAGCAAAGCAGCAAGCUGCUUCCUGUUACCGUUCGACUUGCAUGUGUUAGGCCUGCCGCCAGCGUUCAAUCUGAGCCAUGAUCAAACUCUUCAAUUUAAAAGUUUGAUGCUCAAUGAAUUAAACUUCGUAAUGAAUUACGUGUUCACUCUUGAGACUUGGUAUUCAUUUUUCGU
rnacentral:rRNA from 1 species